AGAUUGAACGCUGGCGGCAUGCCUUACACAUGCAAGUCGAACGGCAGCACGGGAGCAAUCCUGGUGGCGAGUGGCGAACGGGUGAGUAAUAUAUCGGAACGUGCCCAGUCGUGGGGGAUAACGCAGCGAAAGCUGUGCUAAUACCGCAUACGAUCUCUGGAUGAAAGCGGGGGACUCGCAAGGGCCUCGCGCGAUUGGAGCGGCCGAUAUCAGAUUAGCUAGUUGGUGGGGUAAAAGCCCACCAAGGCGACGAUCUGUAGCUGGUCUGAGAGGACGACCAGCCACACUGGAACUGAGACACGGUCCAGACUCCUACGGGAGGCAGCAGUGGGAAUUUUGGACAAUGGGCGAAAGCCUGAUCCAGCAAUGCCGCGUGCAGGAUGAAGGCCUUGGUGUAAACUGUCUUUAGUACGGUAACGAAACGGUCUCUUUACUAAACGUAAGGGACUAAGUAGAACGGUACCGUAAAGAAUAAGCACGGACUAACUACGUA
rnacentral:rRNA from 1 species